rnacentral:rRNA from 1 species
GAUGAACGCUGGCGGCGUGCCUAAUACAUGCAAGUCGAGCGGACGGACGAUAAGCUUGCGUCUCUGAUGUUAGCGGCGGACGUGUGAGUAACGCGUGGAUAACCUACCUAUAAUACUGGGAUCACUUCGGGAAACCGGAUCUAAUACCGGAGAAUAUUUUGAACCACAUGGGUCAAAAGUGAAAGACGGUCUUGCUGUCACGUAUAGAGGGAUCCGCGCUGGAUUAGCUAGUUGGUAAGGUAACAGCCUACCAAGGCAACGAUGCAUAGCCGACCUGAGAGGGUGAUCGGCCACACUGGAACUGAGACACGGUCCAGACUCCUACGGGAGGCAGCAGUCGGGAAUCUUCCGCAAUGGGCGAAAGCCUGACGGAGCAACGCCGCGUGAGUGAUGAAGGUCUUCGGAUCGUAAAGCUCUGUUAUUAGGGAAGAACAUCUGUGUAAUUAACCGUGCCCAGCUUGACGGUACCUAAUCAGAAAGCCACGGCUAACUACGUG